rnacentral:rRNA from 1 species
UACGUAGGGUGCAAGCGUUAAUCGGAAUUACUGGGCGUAAAGCGUGCGCAGGCGGUUGUGCAAGACCGAUGUGAAAUCCCCGGGCUUAACCUGGGAAUGGCAUUGGUGACUGCACGGCUAGAGUGUGUCAGAGGGGGGUAGAAUCCACGUGUAGCAGUGAAAUGCGUAGAGAUGUGGAGGAAUACCGAUGGCGAAGGCAGCCCCCUGGGAUAACACUGACGCUCAUGCACGGAAAGCGUGGGGAGCAAACAGG